rnacentral:rRNA from 1 species
CUACGGGGCGCUCCAGUGAGGAAUUUUGCGCAAUGGGCGAAAGCCUGACGCAGCAACGCCGCGUGAGUGAUGAAGGCCUUCGGGUCGUAAAGCUCUGUCAAGUGGGAAGAACCUAUGUAAUGUUAAUAUCAUUAUAUACUGACGGUACCACUGAAGGAAGCACCGGCUAGCUCCGUGCCAGCAGCCGCGGUAAUACGGGGGGUGCAAGCGUUAUUCGGAAUCAUUGGGCGUAAAGGGCACGUAGGCGGCCUGGUAAGUCAGAUGUGAAAGCCCGGGGCUUAACCCCGGAAAUGCAUUUGAUACUGUCAGGCUUGAGUAUGGGAGAGGGAAGUGGAAUUCCUGGUGUAGAGGUGAAAUUCGUAGAUAUCAGGAGGAACACCGGUGGCGAAGGCGACUUCCUGGACCAAUACUGACGCUGAGGUGCGAAGGCGUGGGUAGCAAACAGGAUUAGAUACCCGCGUAGUC